rnacentral:ncRNA from 2 species
GGAGAAAACUCUGGAGAACUCUUAAGUGAGUGCCGAAGGUGCAAGGCCCCCGCGCAAGCGGGCAGCUUCGCGAAGCGGAGCAGGCCGAAUCUCUCAGGCAAACGGACAGAGCGAUGACG